GGGGACGUGAUGAUCCUUUUCCCCACAUGAUCGACGAUGAAUUCACCGCGUCUCCUUUCUUCUUGUUCUCCCCUAAUUCGUGGAGAGCUAAGAAUUCAAGCCAGCAGUUCUGAUCCCC
rnacentral:snoRNA from 15 species